rnacentral:rRNA from 1 species
UACGGGGGGUGCAAGCGUUAAUCGGAAUUACUGGGCGUAAAGGGCGCGUAGGUGGUUACUUAAGUCAGAUGUGAAAGCCCCGGGCUCAACCUGGGAAUUGCAUUUGAUACUGGGUAACUAGAGUGUGGUAGAGAGUAGCGGAAUUUCUGGUGUAGCGGUGAAAUGCGUAGAUAUCAGAAGGAACACCAAUGGCGAAGGCAGCUGCUUGGGCCAACACUGACGCUGAGGCGCGAAAGCGUGGGGAGCAAACAGG